rnacentral:lncRNA from 1 species
UCCUCGUUUAUGUCCAUUAUAUCACCGCUUGAACAUCAUUUUAACACGUAAGUGGCACCUAGCGAAUCCCCUAUCAACCUAAACGGUAUAGAGGUCGUUGCUUCCAUCUAACAGAGCUGCUAAACCAACAAAUAUCCAGAGUGACACGUCAGUCACGAUCCGAUCGUCAAUCGCUUAGUCUGGGGCGCGAAAAUUCGAUCUCAAGAUGUUUAAAUUAUUUCUAUCCAUUUUAUUCUUCUUAAUAUCUUUCCUGGCCGUCUGACUUUCUUCGAUGCUCGUCUUCUGUCGAUGUCGCCUAUCUGUCAAUCGGUGCAAGAGCAGAUGUGCAAACAAAUAGGAAAGUACAGAUAGGAAAGUGUGUGACAAAAUGAAAAACAUGGUGGAUGUCAUCGUACAGAAUCAAAGAUCCUCCACUUGAAUGUGUGGGCUAUCGGGGAAAACGGUUUCAAAAAUUUAACACCUGCGGGAUUGAACCUUCGUCAAGAACCGAAGCAAUUGAGUUUCCUGUAUCUGAUCUGCAAUAAGAUUAACGAGAUAUCCCAAGACCUCGAUCGCGGACGUGCCGCAUUUGUGGGGGCUGAAUUUCGGAUUGAACGACAUCGAACCGAUCGACAGGAGCUCGGUUACAGCGAUAUAUUGUAGGAAUUAAUAACCUUCCGGAAUUGGGAAACGAUAAACUAACCAUCAUCCAGCCAGGAAUCCUACAAGGAUUGUCCGGAUUGGGCUAUCUCAUAUUGGAAGGAAAUCAGUUAAGCAGAGUGUCUUACAUCGAUUACAAACAACUAAUUGGUUUAUAUGAUUUGAACUUAGACUACAAUCAAAUAGCAAGUAUCGAGAUAGUAUCGUUCCUGGCCAUGAAUUACUUGAAGUUGCAUCCGAGCACGAAUCAACUAACUGUGAUUAUCUUUGCAAUGUUUCAUGGACUAACGGAUUUGAGCGUGCUGAUAAUAAGAUCGUUACAACAACCUGGUGUGUUUGGAGACCUUCCAGUCCUGGCAUUCGUAAACCUUACGAACAACGAAUUAACUGGCAUAAAUUUUGCAGAAUGUAGAAAUUGGUGGAAUAAAAAAAUGUGUAUAAACAUGUGCAUAAACAUGUAGAGCGCAAAAAUCAAUGAGUUGGGCCAGAGUAUGAUAAGUCUACAUCGAGUAGCUAAGAUAGCGGAGAUGGAGGUUCUUUUUACGCUUCUCACUAGUGAGCCAGAGCAGAGCUUUCAGGCUCGCAAGUCUUCGACUUGCGCAACAGCAUCGCAGAGGAUCUAACAAUCUCUCUUCAUACCUUCGUUUCAAUCUUCUUUGAUCAGGAAAAGUUACAAGUCGUAUU